rnacentral:rRNA from 1 species
UGGGGAAUAUUGGACAAUGGGCGAAAGCCUGAUCCAGCCAUGCCACGUGUGUGAAGAAGGCCUUUUGGUUGUAAAGCACUUUAAGUGGGGAGGAAAAGCUUAUGGUUAAUACCCAUAAGCCCUGACGUUACCCACAGAAUAAGCACCGGCUAACUCUGUGCCAGCAGCCGCGGUAAUACAGAGGGUGCAAGCGUUAAUCGGAAUUACUGGGCGUAAAGCGCGCGUAGGUGGUUAUUUAAGUCAGAUGUGAAAGCCCCGGGCUUAACCUGGGAACUGCAUCUGAUACUGGAUAACUAGAGUAGGUGAGAGGGGAGUAGAAUUCCAGGUGUAGCGGUGAAAUGCGUAGAGAUCUGGAGGAAUACCGAUGGCGAAGGCAGCUCCCUGGCAUCAUACUGACACUGAGGUGCGAAAGCGUGGGUAGCAAACAGGAUUAGAUACCCUGGUAGUCCACGCCGUAAACGAUGUCUACCAGUCGUUGGGUCUUUUAAAGACUUAGUGACGCAGUUAACGCAAUAAGUAGACCGCCUGGGGAGUACGGCCGCAAGGUUA